CCCAGUAAACGGCGGCCGUAACUAUAACGGUCCUAAGGUAGCGAAAUUCCUUGUCAGGUAAGUUCUGACCCGCACGAAAGGUGUAACGAUCUGGGCACUGUCUCAACAACCCGCCCGGCGAAAUUGUAGUACCGGUGAAGAUGCCGGUUACCCGCGACUAGACGGAAAGACCCCAUGGAGCUUUACUGUAGCCUAAUAUUGGAUUUCGGUAUUUCACGUACAGGAUAGGUGGGAGACUGGGAAGCACAGGCGUCAGCUUGUGUGGAGUCGACCUUGGGAUACCACUCUUGGAGUGCUGGAAUUCUAACCUGCGGCUUUGAAGCAAGUCGGGGGACAUUGUUAGGUGGGCAGUUUGACUGGGGCGGUCGCCUCCUAAAGAGUAACGGAGGCGCUCAAAGGUUCGCUCUGCAUGGAUGGAAACCAUGCGUCAGAGUGUAAACGCAAAAGCGAGCCUAACUGCGAGAAUGACGGUUCGAGCAGUAACGAAAGUUGGAGUUAGUGAUCCGGCGGUAUGUGAAUGGAAAUGCCGUCGCUCAACGGAUAAAAGCUACCCUGGGGAUAACAGGCUGAUCUCCCCCAAGAGUCCACAUCGACGGGGAGGUUUGGCACCUCGAUGUCGGCUCAUCGCAUCCUGGGGCUGUAGUCGGUCCCAAGGGUUGGGCUGUUCGCCCAUUAAAGCGGUACGCGAGCUGGGUUCAGAACGUCGUGAGACAGUUCGGUCCCUAUCUGUCGUGGGCGUAGGAUAUUUGCAAGGAGCUGUCCCUAGUACGAGAGGACCGGGAUGGACGCACCUCUGGUGCACCAGUUGUCACGCCAGUGGCACAGCUGGGCAGCUAUGUGCGGAACGGAUAAACGCUGAAGGCAUCUAAGCGUGAAGCCGCCCUUAAGAUAAGAUAUCCCUUCUGUUUACAGAGUAAGACCCCUUGAAGACUACAAGGUUGAUAGGCUCAAAGUGUAAGCACGGUGACGUGUUUAGCUAGCGAGUACUAAUCGGUCGAGGGCUUAACCUU
rnacentral:rRNA from 1 species